rnacentral:rRNA from 1 species
AUGAAAUUGGUCAAAACUUGCUUGCGCAAUCGCCUCAACGAUGACAGCUUGAGUGAUGAUGUUAUUUGUUAUGUGGAGAAGGAAGAACUAAAAAAGGUCACCAAUGAUCAAGUGGUUGAGUAUUUCAUAGCUCGAAGGAAGAGAAUGUACUAA